AUGUGAGGCUUCUGAAUCUGAACCGUCACGGAUGAUGAAAGCGGUGCAGACUCAGAGCGGUGCUCCUCCUGAAGCUCACAGGGAAGCACAGAGCGACGGCGUCCGACAGCUGCUGCAGGAUGAGCUCUUCAGACUGGUGCAGCUCCAGCAGAUCAACUUCAUGAGCCUCAUGCAGGUGGUCGGAGCGUCUUUCGCAAACCUGCCGCUGCCUCAAGCAAACCUGCAUCAGCCCGGUGGGAUUCCACCACAGCCCAGCUCGAUUACCCAGAAUAUCCAGCAAAACUUCCGAGAUGACACCAAUCAGCCAACACAAGCAUGCAGGCCUGACAGAGUGGCUAACAGCCAGGAUGAUGACCAGAGGGCUGAAAUGGAGCAGAGAAACCCACCCUGCAAAACUCAGGAAAUCGAGCACUUGACCAUUCGCUCAGACUGGCCAGAGGACGCUCAAACCAACAGCAGGAGUUUCAUCCCUACAUCUCAAGGGCUUCUGACCACAGCUGAUCAUCAGGCAUCCGGUAGCAAGAAAGUCUCUGAAGGCCAGCCGAGAGCAGCUCCACAAGCACAUGGACUCAGACUCCUGCAGCUCCAUCCUCCUCAAACUCUCCUGCCCAGACCUGCUGCUCCUCCUCCUCCACAUCAUGCUCCUUUUCCUCAUGCUCCUCCCUCUUCUUAUGCUCCUCCCCCUGUUCAUGCCACUCCUCCUUAUGCUCAGCCCCCUCCCUCUUCUCACGCUCCUCCUCCUCCCCAUCAUGCUCCACCUUCUCUGCAUGCUCCGCCUCUUCAUGAUCCUCCCACUGUUCAUGCCCCUCCUUCUCCUCAUGCUCCACCUUCUCUGCAUGCUCCUCCCCUUCAUUCUCCACCUUCUCGGCUUGCUCCUCCUUAUCAUGCCCCUCCUCCACAUUCUCAUGCUCUGCCUCUUUCCCAUGCCCCUCCUCCACAUGCUCCGCCUCCUCCUCAUCUCCCAGUGAAGCAGGCCUGGGGUCAGUCUGGAUCUGCCUUGGGAGUAGAUUAUUCUGCAGCUCCUCCAUCACAUCUCCCUCAGAGGACUGCAGGAGCUCCUGAAUCUCUCCGUUUGCCUUCUGCUGCUCUUAGAUCAGCUCCUGUCGGCCUGCCUCUGCUCAGAUUUCACCCUGAUGCCCAGAGACCCGUCACGCUGCCUCAUAUCCCACAAACCCCUGCGCUGAAACCACCCAAUCUGAGCUCCACUGCAGCAAAUCAGUAUUAUCCCAGAAUUCAGCUGCUGCACCGAGAGCCGGAUCCUCCUUGUUUGCGGUUCAGCUCUGCGCCGGUACGAACCCCUCGCCUCAUCCCGCUGGAGGAUCUGCUGAGAUGGAGCUCAGUGAAGCAAACCAGAGCAGAGCCCAAACUACAGCUAAUCAAGACUGAACCCGUCCCGCAGAACCAGAGCUCCAGCAGCCCGUCCAGCAAGAGGUCAAGACUGCAAACCACUCAUACCGUCAGAGACAAACACACACACCACAACAACAUCAGCUUUCUGACUAAUCUCCUCACCUCGUCUCAUUCAGAAAGAAGAGGAGAGAGGAGAAGAACCAAGAGCAGAAGCCUGGAGUCACCUUCAGACCCGAGGACUCCAUCAUUCCUCCAGAUGAGCCUGCAGAAGAUGAGCCAGAUCAGGAUGAUGGAUACACCAUUCCUUCAGGUAAUGAAAUACAUGCUUCUCAGAGAUUAUACACUCGGGAUGUUUUAUUCAGGGGAGCGUUUCCCUACCAUCGUUAGACAAAUACGAUCUCAAAUCAUAUCAUCACAAACAUUCACAAACAGCGUCGUAAUCUUGCAGCUGUUUACAGUUUUGUAUUAUGGAUUUUUUUUUAUCUAAGGGUGGCAUGGUGGCUUAGUGGCCAGCACUGUGGCCUCACAGCAAGGAGGUUGCUGGGUCGAGUUCCGGCUGGGUCAGUUGGCGUUUCUGUGUGGAGUUUGCAUGUUCUCCCCGUGUUGGCGUGCGUUUCCCCCACAGUCCAAACACAUGCGCUUUAGGGGAAUUGAUUAACUAAACUGUGUGUGUGUGUGUGUGUGUGUGUGUGUGUACGUGUUUAUGUGACAUAUCAGGACACAAAUCUGUAUAAUGUCAUGGGUAUGACACAGGUAUUACAAAAAGGAGGUGAAAUAUGAGGACAUUGGUGACGUCCUCAUUUCUCAAAAUGCUUAUAAAUCCUACAGAAUGAGUUUAAUCAGAGAGUAAAGCUGCACACUGACUUCUGUGAUGGUUGGGUUUAGGGGUGGGGUGAGGGGCAAUUUAAUAUACGGUUUGGACGGUAUAAAAUGAAUGGAAACCUAUGUAAUGUCCCCACUUUUCACAAAAACAAACGUGUGUGUGUGUGUGUGUGUGAGUGUGUGAGUGAGAAUGAGAGUGUAUAGGUGUUUCCCAGUAGUGGGUUGCAGUUGGAAGGGCAUCCGCUGUGUAAAACAUAUGCUGGAAUAAUUGGUGGUUCAUUCCGCUGUGGCGACCCCUGAUGAAUAAAGGGACUAAGCCGAAGAAAAAUGAAUGAAUGAACUAUACAAAAUUUGUUUUUGCUGUGUAUUUAGAUUUUUUUUGUAGUUUUUUUCACUGUUUUUCACAUUUGACACACACACACACAUGUUUGUUUUUGUGAAAAGUGGGGACAUUACAUAGGUUUCCAUUCAUUUUAUACCGUCCAAACCGUAUAUUGUAUUGCCCUCAGCCCACCCCACCCUAAACCCAACCAUCACAGGAGACUGUGUGCAGCUUUACUCUCUGAUUAAACUCAUUCUGUAUUAUUUAUAAGCAUUUUGAGAAACGAGGACGUCACCAAUGUCCUCAUAUUUCACCUCCUUUUUGUAAUACCUGUGUCAUAACCAUGUCAUUAUACAGAUUUGUGUCCUGAUAUGUCCCGAAAACACGUACACACACACACACACACACACACACACACACACACACACACACACACACACACACAAACAUAUAUAUAUAUAUAUAUUUAUAUAUAUAUAUGUAUAUAUGCGCAGUGUUUUUAAAAUAUUAAUUAUUAAUUAAUGCUUAUUAAUUGUAGUAGUUUAAAAGCCUUGUGAUUUCAAUUGGUCAACAAUGCAACAUUUUUGUUUAGG
rnacentral:lncRNA from 1 species